rnacentral:lncRNA from 1 species
CCGCAAAGCGGUAGGGAAAAAACCAAAUGUGAAGUCAGGUAUAUGUCAAGUUCUUAUAUUCAUUAUAUUCUACGUUUUGCUGACAAGUACAGCUUUUGUGAUACUAAUUUCUAAUAAUUACAUUUGAUGUAUGUUUCAUUAUAAUACGUUAUUCUGAUUGGCUAACUGCACAACACGUGUGUCAUACACUUAUCCAGGAAUUACUCUUAACCCGGAAAUUUACCUUUAUCCGACCAGGGAAGAAACAUAUUCUGUGAUAUUUUUUGAACAAAGCAAAAUUUGUUAAGUAUUUCUUUUUAAUUAGAUUUACAGUUAAUUAAUAAGUAUUUAUUGGUAUAGAGUAUUUCGAUUAUUUUGAAUAAUGCACUAAUAUUUAAGUAAUUCUUCUUUGCAAAGGGAGAAUAUAUUAAAAAUUUAAUUUCAUGGAAUGGGAGACAACUGCAACUUAUUACUCUUAAACGGAAACGCGUCAUACGCAACUAUUAUCAGCACCCGCAGUGCGCAUGCGCUAAAUUUGAUCGCAAUCGAUAUCGAUAAAUUUACUAUAGAUUAUUAAAGGAAAUAUUGAAUUUUGGUUAGCUGACAGUAAACAAAAAUAAAUAUCUUUUUCAUUGGCAUCACAUUAGAAAAUACAUUUUCUUAGCUUUCUAAUGACAUAUUUUAUAAUUGAAUCGGGAUAGCAGAAGUUACGGCCAUUUUCAUUUUUAAAAAAGUGGUUCAUUCCCUAUUACUUCAUACAAUUCAAAAUCAAAAACGUUUGCAAAGGAGUUUUCAUAUAUAAUUACAUCUUUCACUAUUUUUAGAAAUAAAUUCAUUGGCAUAAAUAUAUAUUCUUUGCUUUAUAAUCUUUCCAAUGAUAUAUAUUUUAUAUUGUAGAAAAUUUAAUGAAUCGGGGCCUUUUUUAUCCAAAACUGGAGUUAUUGUCAUUGUUUGAAGAUUGCGAGAAAAAUUCUAAGUCCAUGGAAGAUUUAUAUUGAUAUAGUACUUCCAUGGUCCGACCAAGUAAAUCGCUCGAUCACAAGUCACAAAACAAAGUUUAAUCUAUUUGCACAUAAAAUAUUUAUACAUUUAAUACAAUGUUUUAUAUCAGGAAUUUAAAAAUUCAGUAAAUAAAGUAAAACAAGUGUAACUUUUAAAAUAAAAGAAUUUUUUUGUCCAGCCGUCAGUUUUCUUUAUUUUUGAUAAUAUAAAAUCUUUCGCUACUACAUUAACUCAGACUUUCGGAUGUUUUUCGUGAAGCGUUUUAAAAAAAUUGAAAUCCCAUCUAAAAUGAUUUUUUUUUUGGCAAUUUUCUUACAUAUCUUUUUAAAAGUUUUUUUUUUAAAUAAUUAGGCGGCCGUAACUAAACAAUUUUGAUACUUAAACAUGCUCAUCUGAUUUACAUAGAAGUAAUAGAUACAUAUUUUAUAUAUAUUAUUUUCAUGUUCUAAAAAGACCAAUUAGUUUUGAUGAAACAGGAAAAGUAUCAUUAUCUUAAAUUUUUCAGAUGCAGUAACACUUUCAGAAGAUCUUUUGUAGUAGAUGGAUUUGGAAUGAAAUCUUAUACGUCAAAUUUUCUUUCAUCAAUUUUAUACCUUUUCACUGCUUUUGAUUGGCAAUAUGAAUCGCUGUACUAUUUUACAUGUACAUGUGAUGUAUACUAGUCUAUUGCUUGUUUGAUGUACAUUUUCCUUUUAUCAUUUUAACUGUUACUGAGAAAAAUAAAUCGCAUAGGACAAAAUAAAAUUAAUUUUAAUUUGUCUCUCUCCUUUCAGAAGUUUCUAUCGGGAAAUAUAUUUAAUUUUAUACUUGAACAUUUAUGUAAAAUUUGUAUUAAAAAGGAAACUUAUUUUAAUUAUUGUUCUGUUAAUGUAAAGUUUACGGAAAGCUGUCUCAUUCAAUUUGGAACUCAUACCAACUCAUCCCCGGAAAUCUUCUUGCAUUUAUAUUGUACAUGUAUUUGCAGAAUUUUUUAUUUUUUUAUUUAUCGAAUCAUGGAAGUAUUAUAUAUGUCAAUUUAAUACUUCCAUGAUCGAAUGAAUGAGAUAGUUGGAAUCGUUAAAAUUUAAUAUUAUACAUGCAAACAGAUGCCUGCGACCCCUGUUGUUUCGAUUGGCAUGUUUUCUAAAGAUAUCCUUGUGAAGUUCACAAAUUUCAUCAUUCAUUUGAUCACCUGUUGUGAAUUUCAGAUAACACUGUCAAGUUCAGUCAAAUCCGUGGUUUAAAAUUUCCUAUACAUAUCAGUAAUAUUAUUUUCCGGGUAGGGUAUCCCCCCUUUUUUUUUUAUAUAUUAUACUCGGAACAUUAUUGUAAACACUUUUCUGUGGGACUUUCUUUACGGUUUUAGGAAAAUUUGAGAAUAUCAGUAUAUAAAUUCAUUAGUAUGUGCUUCGAUUGGCUUAUAUCUAUAUAAAAAAAAGUAAUCUAAGACUAUCUCAUUAUUGUAAGUGAGAGACCUUUCCAUCCAUCAACGAACAUGUGAAGCGUGUAUAAAUAUUGUUGAAACUGAGAAAUAUGUAUUGAUAUAGUGUCCAUUCUAAGAUCACCUGCAAACUGAUCUUUUAUAGAAAAACUUUGUCACUUCGGAACAUCCAAACUUUUAAAAAACAAUCCAAUUUGAAAAAUUGUCUAUUGUUUUAUAGGUAGCCAGUGAAUGUGAUAGAAGUGCCAAAAUCUGCAAUCUUAUUUUACAUAGAAGACGCUGCUUUUCAAAUCGUUAAACAGUUUGUCUUAACUGAAGACAUUUUUAAAGAAAUUUGAAAAUUUAGCUGUACAUUUAUACUUAUUCAUUAUUAAUACGACAUUUGUCUUUCUUUCACAUAGCAAAAUUAAAGCUAUUUAAAGAACAAUACGUUGAUGUACUGUAGCGUGUUUUCCAUUGUGAUUUAUAAACAAACUGCAUCGUCGCGGGCAAAAGUACUAUUAAACUGCAUCGUCGCGGACAAACGUACUAUUAAGCAUUUAGUGUUGAAGGCCAAUUUUUCUCUCAGAAAUCAUGGCUGAAAAGUUAGAGCAAAUAUUGAUAAACAAACAAUUCUGGGAGGUAACUGAAAAUAAGAGUAAAAUUAGAGACUGAAUUUAUUCUUUUAAUAAAAAAGCAAAAUGUUGCAAUGAGUUUGUGUUUGUGUAUGUAUAUUCAAAUUCUACGCUGUCUCAUAUUCGGGUUUACGUCGAAAGAUAUAUAUAUAUAUAUAUGUUUGGUAAUCAUGAUCUCAUAUUUGUCCUUUUUCGACUUUUUAUUUUGUAUGCAUGGUUUGAUAUUCGGUAAAAUCGAAUUGUAUAUCUUUCGGGAAAUAAAGUCAGUUUAUAAUCUUUAUACAACUCGUAUUCAUGCCGCGGAACCUAGCAUGCUACAGUGUCAUAUAUUUAUAAUAUUGUUUACUUAGGGUAGUCAAAUUAUUUACGAGUGUCAACAUUGUCUUUACAAACUCAGCAUGUUGUCUUGAUAAGAUAUCACACACAGAAAAGACUGAUGAGACGGAUAAGAAAUCAAAAUCAUGCGCGAUAACUCGUACUGGCUUACACUGAGGACAAUAGUUGGCCAUGUUACUCUUAUCCAGAAAAUGUAAUGUUAUAUUAUUGACUUAUUGUUAGCACAGGACGGAAUUUCCAAUAUUUAAUCAACUAAAAAUAAAUAGAGAUAAAUGAACAGUCAAAUCAAAAGUAAUUUUAUUUUCUCAAUAGACUUAUAGCUUAAAAGUCGAAGUAAUUUUUUUGUCAUUUUCAUCUAUAAUGAGACAAUCAUUUGAGUUCUUCUUUUGGGGGGGGGGGACGUGGGUGCAAAAAGAUUUAGAAAAAUAUACCCUUGCCUGGCCAAAACAAGCAUAGUGCAGGAAACAGUUGUGGUCAAAAGUGGAUUUUUUUUUUCGGCCAACAAAUGUAAGCCUGCAUAACUUUAUUAUCGACUCCUAGGAGUCGAUAUUAAGAAUUAAACGAUGCACAGUUAGUGCGUGAAUUUGUCUUGCUACCUGAUUGGAAGAUAUUACGAGACGUGAAUAAUCAAAGUUUAUUGAUUGGUUAGGACAAUCCAAACCUUGUUAAUGUCAUUCAAUCCCGUAGAGUAUCGGAUUUGUCCCCUCUAUUUUAUAUAUAUAUAUAUAUAUAGCAAUUAGAUUUUGCCUGGUCAAUAAUCAUGCAUAUUCAUGAUAUUGGUACACAAGUAACUUUUAUCUAUAAAUAGUCGAAUCUUCUGGAGUUUUGUAAACAACAACGUUAAACGAUAUAUACUACUGCAUAACGUGUGACCUCACGUGUGUGGUAAAAUUUGUUGAUUGAUGCACGUGGCUAUUCUAGUAAAUGACUUAAUCUACAAAGCGAGAGCACUUUCCAUUUUCAUCAGCUAAGAGUCGACUAGCCCUUUUUGAAAGGCUAAUGCUUGUGAUAGAUUACAAUGAAUAGCCAAUCUGCAAAUAUGACCACCUAAUUUGAACUUUAGAAGAUGGCUGUCUCAAUUGGUAUUCAUACCAAUGGUCAGAAUACCAAUUUCGAAAAUUAAAACGAAAUAGCGACGAAACAGACUGAGUGCUAUUCUUUUUUUUAAUUUCACCAUUUUCCAUAUCAGUCUCAAAAAUUAAGUCUGUAAUUUUAUAUCAUAUGUUGGUACUCUUAUCCCGGAAAUAUGAACAUGAAGGGAAAAUAUGAAAUGCAGGGAAAAGUGUCUAGUAACAGCAAUGCUUUAAUGUUAUUGUAACAUGUUUCCGGGAUAAGAGUACCGACAUAAAAUAUAAAAUUACGGGCUUAAUUUCGCGGACAGUAUAACUUUAAUAUAAAAAUCAUUUCACUUUCAAGUCAUAUACAUAAAGCGACGAUGUGUAUGCUUAUAUCUAAAUAAAAAUCAUACAAUUCUAUAUUUUUUUAAAAAGAUUAAAUUUAGAUAGAAAUGCAAACAUUUUACAUUAUGUGUCGAUACCCUUAUCCCGGAAACAUGUUAAAAAGAGAAAAUAUGUAUUAAUAUGCUGCUAUUUUAUUUUUUUAUUAUGCCAGUCCAAAUUCAGUCGACAUGCCAUGCAAAACGUGCCUACUCUGUAUUGUAUAUAGUUUCUCUCCUGAAUAUUUAUAAUAGAUUGCAAUUGGAAUUCGGUGUGAGUCAAUGUUCCGUGUUGAAGGCCGAACUUUUACCUAUAAUUGUUCACUUUAAACACAGUGUGACUUGAAUGGCAAUUUGUCUCAUUCGCACUUCGUGCCACAUCUUCUUUUUUUUUUUUUGUUAUUUAAUCAAACAACAACCAAUUGGUCAUCGAAUUUGAAUUAUUGUUACUUUUUUUAUUCUGUGUAUUUCAUACAAAAUGAUCAAACCAAAAAAUUACCCCACUUGUAUCAUUGAAUAAAUCUAUUUCAUAAUCAUGGAUUCAGUUAAAAAAGCUAUAUACAACAUUUAGAAAACGAAGCUUCGAAACCUCUUCAAUUAUAUUUUUUUCAAUGAUCAAACUGCAUCCAAACCAAACAAUGUCUGAAACAAUCUCUUUAAUACAAGUAUACCUUGUUUGAUAUUACUGCUGUUGUACGAAUUAAGAUGAGACAAUAUGAAUGUUUAGAUAAAAUUGUAACAACCUAUCAUGACAUGCUAAAAUCUAAUAACCUACAAAAACGUACAUAUUUAUCAUUAUAAAAGAUAUUUGUUCAAUACAAUGCAACUCAAAAUACCAAAGAUAGGAAACUAUAACACUGUUUGUCUGUAUUUGUAAUCUCAAGACGCCGACGAAGCUAAGAUGAUUGUAAAUAUUGCGUUACAUUUAAUUUAGGUACAAAACAUCUAUUUGACAUCUCCUAAUUACCCCUCUAUUUUACAUCGUUUAUUGAUUAACAUCUAUUCCUCUGGUUCAUCUGAAUUGUAGUCUUCUUCUUGUUCAUGAUUUCUUAUCCUAAGUAGAUAUUGAACAAGAUCAUAAUUACUGUCCUCAUUCAUUUCAAUAAAUCGUUGUCAAAGCCUAUCCCAGCACCCCAACUCCAUAGAUCAUAAGGUGUUUCGAACAUCUAUUUAGACCAAUUAGAAUUAACUAAUUGACCAUGGCCAUGUCCAUCGUCAGGAGCCCAAGCCAUUGCAUAGUGACACUUAUUAUAAAAAUACUGUAAUUUUUAUUAGGGGCUCGACACCUCAUGAUCUGUCUGACUUAUAUUUUUCUAUACUCUUACAUGUAUCUACUUAACCUUGUUUAUCAAUUUAACGAACAAAGUUUAGAAUCUAUUUUCAUAAUCUGCAACAUAUCAAUUACCCAGAGUUACUGAUGUUACUGUGUCUUUCAAGUUUUUAUGCAUUCGGAAAGCAAAUAGAGGUCUUUUAUCAAAUAAAAUAAAAGUUUUGCCUCUUCGUCAUCUUUUAAUGUAUCCCAGUGAUUUAAGAAAUUGUUCUUAAUGUGUGAUUUCUGUCUCGAAAACACUGUGGAGAAUACCAAGGGAGGCGACUGUAAUACAGAUUUGGCCUUUACCAUUAAUGUGUCUUUUCUUUGUUUUGCAGUUACUUCCUGCAUAACCGGUUCAUAUCCAGAUUUUGUUAAAAAGGGAUGACGUUUAAAAAUAUCACCCUUGUCAAAAAGAUAUUUACAUCUUAGUUUUCUUGCAAAUUCAUUGAAAUCUAAUGCAAUACUAGAUUUUGCAAAUUUGGUCGAGGGAGACGGUAGAUAUGAGUAACAAGUCUCAUCGUCUUUUAUUUUUUCAGUGGUGAAUAUUUUAACAUAUUCACGUGCUUUUUCAAUUGAUUGUUUUCCUAUUGAGAGAGCGAAUCUAUAUCUUUUUAUUUUUCUGAUAGAAGGCCUUUUUCAUGAUAGCCUUUUUGUUUUUUUCGCUGCCUUUUUGUUUUUUUCGCUCUCUGUAAGUGUCUGUUAGCCAUGUUUACAGAUCGGAGGAAAUCGCCAGAAGGCAGUGUGCAAUUCAUUUCUUGAUGUAAUAUUGAUUCUUUAUCAAGCCUGUAUGAACUCACCAACCAAUCAGAUAUCAGUUACUCAUUAGGAAACUACAUAAGGGGAAGAGGAGAACAUCCCUCCUAGACAUUGCAACCAAUCACCAUUCAUUGCUUUAUAAACUGACACGUAUACCAGAUGCAUUUUGACAAUUUGACUUUUUAAUUUAUCAGACAAUCAAAAACCAUACAUUUUUGUUUUGAAAAUCUCAGCACUUUCUUUUCAACUAAUUCCUCUCACUAAAGAAUCUCUGACGUAUUGGUUUUUACAUUUACUUUCCUUGUAUUAUGUAUGUAUUACAACUUUAACAUAAAUUGACAUAAUUAAUCAACCCUUAAACCUUUCGGUAAAGAUAUUUUUCAAAUUUAAUAUCUAUUUUGACAGAAAUACAAAACACAUUAUCAAUGCACUAUUGCUAUUGCCGAUAAUAACCGUUGCAUUUAAUUAUAAUGUAUUAAUUAUGACUACUUAUCGUCAACAAAUAUCAAAAAUUAUCUUUGAUGGUUUUAUUUCUCAACUUUAAAUAAAGAUUUAUUUGUAAACAUUUGUUUAUCAUCAUAAUUACACUGGGUUCAUUGAUAAACUAACCUUCUUUGUUCUGCUCUAUCAAUUAUCUAUAAAUUAAGCGUUACUUAAGAACCAAUAAGAUAUUACACUUUUAUUUACACACUUUACAGAUGUUUGUCAAAAAACUUUACUAACGAAGUGUAUAGGCACACGUUAAAUGUUUUAUCAUCUUCAAAUGACUUAUCUGAUGUUACACAGUUCAGUUAAAUCAUAUCCAUCGCUAGUUGCAUUUAUGUAAUACAAGUGUGUUUAUAAAACUGUAUAAAAUAUUAAAUCAUAACAGAUCACUGGUGGGACUGCCCUUACAGUGUCAGCUUGUAAUUUAAGACGAUGAGGGUAAAACCCAAUUUUUGUAGCAUUGCUGAUGAUAGAUAUUUCCUCCAGUGAUAAACAAAUGUUUACAAAUAUAUCUUUAUUUAAAGUUGAGAAAUAAAACCAUCAAAGAUAAUUUUUGAUAUUUGUUGACGAUAAGUAGUCAUAAUUAAUAAUUAUAAUUAAAUGCAACGGUUAUUAUCGGCAGUAGCAAUUGUGCAUUGAUAAUGUGUUUUGUAUUUCUGUCAAAAUAGAUAUUAAAUUUGAAAAAUAUCUUUACCGAAAGGUUUAAGGGUUGAUUAAUUAUAUCAAUUUAUGUUAAAGUUGUAAUACAUACAUAAUACAAGAAAAGUAAAUGUAAAAACCAAUACGUCAGAGAUUCUUUAGUGAGAGGAAUUAGUUGAAAAGAAAGUGCUGAGAUUUUCAAAACAAAAAUGUAUGGUUUUUGAUUGUCUGAUAAAUUAAAAAGUCAAAUUGUCAAAAUGCAUCUGGUAUACGUGUCAGUUUAUAAAGCAAUGAAUGGUGAUUGGUUGCAAUGUCUAGGAGGGAUGUUCUCCUCUUCCCCUUAUGUAGUUUCCUAAUGAGUAACUGAUAUCUGAUUGGUUGGUGAGUUCAUACAGGCUUGAUAAAGAAUCAAUAUUACAUCGCACACUGCCUUCUGGCGAUUUCCUCCGAUCUGUAAGCAUGGCUAACAGACACUUUAAGGGAGCGACAAAAACAAAAAGGAAGUAACUGCAAAACAAAGAAAAGACACAUUAAUGGUAAAGGCCAAAUCUGUAUUACAGUCGCCUCCCUUGGUAUUCUCCACAGUGUUUUCGAGACAGAAAUCACACAUUAAGAACAAUUUCUUAAAUCACUGGGAUACAUUAAAAGAUGACGAAGAGGCAAAACUUUUAUUUUAUUUGAUAAAAGACCUCUAUUUGCUUUCCGAAUGCAUAAAAACUUGAAAGACACAUUAUUAUUAUGUACUUAACAUCAGUAACUCUGGGUAAUUGAUAUGUUGCAGAUUAUGAAAAUAGAUUCUAAACUUUGUUCGUUAAAUUGAUAAACAAGGUUAAGUAGAUAAGAGUAUAGAAAAAUAUAAGUCAGACAGAUCAUGAGGUGUCGAGCCCUAAAAAAUUACAGUAUUUUUAUAAUAAGUGUCACUAUGCAAUGGCUUGGGCUCCUGACGAUGGACAUGGCCAUGGUCAAUUAGUUAAUUCUAAUUGGUCUAAAUAGAUGUUCGAAACACCUUAUGAUCUAUGGAGUUGGGGUGCUGGGAUAUAGGCUUUGACAACGAUUUAUUGAAAAAAAAAUGUAAUUAUAAGUUUUGAAUGCUUCUUUUUGUAACUUUAUAGGGUUGUAAAAGCGUUGACCGUGCGCACAUUUUUAGUAUGAAGCGCUUCCGCGCUUCAUACAAAAUGUACUUCGGUCAACGCUUUUACACCCCAAUAAAUUUACAAAAAGCAGCAUUCAAUUCUUAAAUAAUGUAGCUGCUAUUUAGGUCUGAUUAUGAUUUAAUUGGCUUUUUCUCUCUUCAAAUCGCCAGAAUCGGAGCGAGUGGUAGCUAUUCAUAGAACCAUCGGGACGAGUUCAAAGUUGUUAAAACAAAUGUAUCCUUUAACUAUCCAUUUUUAAAACGUUUCCGUAGAACAAUGUUAUAUCAUAUUCAAGCUUGAACAUCACCGGCUGUAUUUCAAAAUAAGUUAUUGUAUUCACAGAGAAUUGUUUGUAAAUAAAGCGGAUAAAUUGUACUGAAAAUAGUUUUUUACUCUACGGGGAAUAGAAUAGAUACAUUUUGACAUCAUUGCUUCUUUCCUUCGGAGUAUCUAUAUCCGGUUGUGAUGCUACACAGUGGUAACUAGGUUUGCAAACUAGCAACAGUAAACACAGUUUUAAAAUUAACAUAUAACAUAUUUUUAUUUGGCAUUUUCAGGGGAAAAAAGUGUUUAGUGUGUAAAAUAGUAUUUGACAAUCUUAAUCUUUUGUCACGCAUACGCAACCGUUACAAUUUUUCAGACACUUUAAAAAGACCAGAAAAGGGAAUUCAUGAAAGAAAGCAUUAUAAAGUAUAAAGAUAUGAGCGGAAUAAAGAUUUUCUCAAUAUUUUACAUGGUAUUCUUUCUUCAUACUUGUUUUAGCGAAAUGCAAGGUAAGUACAUAGUAUUACAUGCAAAUAUAUUUAAGAUAAGUUAACAAUUUAAUACGCCAAAUUAUUUCAAUUUUGUUUAGCUCACCUGGCCCGUCUUCGUAGUCCGAUGUCGUUAUCGUCCGCCGUCGUCAUCGUCUGUUGAAUCGUUGAUCGACGUCGUUAACUAUUAUAAAAAAAGUCUUCUCUGAAACUACUGAUCCAUAUUUAACCAAACUUUGCCACAAUCAUCAUUAGGGUAUAUUACUUGUUUAAAAAUGUGUCUGAUGACCCUGCUAGCCAACCAAGUCAAACAGUUGAAAUCGGCUGACAACCCCUUAUUGGAGUUAUUGCCCAUUAAUGACAGUUUUACCCAUUUUUUUCAUUUCUGCAUAAUAACUGAAAAGCUAUAAUGUAUAGAUAGAAACUUAAAUAAGCAAAAAUGAUCAGCAAGACAGGAAUUUACAAACAAGUCAGCAUGGUUUAAAUCGUCUGAUGGACCCUUAUUGGAGUUGUUCUCUUUAAUAACGAUUUUUAUCAUUUAUUUUACGUUGUUGCGUAUAAUCUGAAAAACUACAUAAGAUAAAUAGAAACUUAAAUAAACAAAAAUGAUCAGCAAGAAUAGAUCAACAAAGAAGAGAUUUUGUCAUGGAUUCUAUUCUAGUCCUCAAAGAUGGAGAGUAUAUAUUGUUGAAGAUGCACAUAGACCUAUGAUAGCGACACGGGCUCUUUAGAACCUCUAGGUGGUUUUCUUUAGUAAACUAGUUCUUUAAAAUUUUCUAAUACACCAGGAAUUAGGUUUUGAAAACAGCCAGGCAAGGUGAUUAAUGCAGGAAGGGGGAAAUUGUCACUAUCUUCGGUAUAUGUUUUCGAAACAAAACUUGAAGAACUUGCUGCAAGGGAUAAGUGAAAAUGCAAAUUGAUGUCCUAGAAUAUUUGUGCGCAUGCGACAAUUUCAGAUAUUUGAGGGUUAAUCCAUUCAGCAGGUAUAACUGCUAGGGGGCGAUGUUAACAUGAAAGUCCCUUCUCAGAUGAUAAUCAGCCCAAAACAUUUUACAGAAUAUUUCAUAUUCGAUAUUGCACCUUUAACUGUAGUCUUAGUCUUAAAAUAGUUAGAACACUUAUCGUAAUAAUAUGCAUCGAUUCUAAAACAAUCGAACUGAAAUACAGAUCCUGCGUUGAAAUUUUGCUUACAAGGAUCGGAUAACACUCCAUGCUACUUUCUGUUCUGAUAAUUAUUACACAAGCCAAUAAAUGUCCCGCCUUCAAAUUUUGGAUGGUGUGUAUCAUUACGAAAACCCCAGAGGAUCCCGAAAGCCUUUAAAGCAGAAAUAUAAUGGACUGGGUAUUAUUGAGAUUGUACAUUAACUGCAAGUUCUGAAUAAAAACCUUCUAGGACGAAUACUUGAUGCAGGUUGGUCAAAUGUUAAUUUAUUAAUCAAAACAGAUACCAGGAUCAAAAUUUUAUAUUUUACUCCUCUAUCUAUAAGCUUUGAAAUGGUGUAUAAAGUUUUCUGUAAUUAGGGACUGACGGGUCGCAGCAGUUUAUUCCAUUAUUCAAAAUAAGCUAUUUUUUAAUGUUAACGUGAAUUUCGACAUUUAGGUUUUCCGUUUCUCCUCUAAUAGGUGUUGCAGAACAUAUUGACUAAAUACCUUUUGUUCCUCCAUUGAUAAGCAUUCGAAUGAGGUAUAAGGUAUAUCAGUAAUUAGGGGCUGAAGGGUCACGGCAUUAUUUUGUUUCUAAAGUUUUAUUAUUUAAGGAAUGACUGUAAUAUUUUUUCUGUCUAGUAUGAAGAAAUAACACAAACAAUUUUUUGCACACUGAAUAACGCGCGUAGCGGGUUAUUUAACAGACUGAGUGUGCACCACAUUUUUUUUUAAUGUUAUUUCAAAUAGACAGAAAAAAUAUUACAGACAUUUCUUAUAAUUUAAUUCUAAAUUCUAUUUUAAACCGUAGAAAACCAUGAAAAAAAUUUGAUGACGUCACGGUCACAUGUCUAAAUUAUGUCUAUGGGCUCAUAGCAAAAUAACGUCAGCCAAUCAGAAGACGCGUUACAUCCAAAAUUGAAUUAUUUAACUUUGUAAACCAUACUGAUGAGGAAUAGUUUUGAUACACAACUAGUAUUAUUUAGAAUAAAUAUCAAUAACAGUUGCUACGGAAACGCAUUACAAAGUACUUCCCAGUUAUAAUUUUGAAUGCAAGUUUCAAAGGAAUUGCUAUAUUUUCUUCUUUUAUUAUGUAUUUUUUUAGUGUGCCAUAGUACUAUUAUUGUAAAUAUUUUUGUAGUUAGAUAUUGUGCUAUUUUCUUGAAAACAAAAAUAAUGGUUUUAUACUAACAUUGUAUGUAAAAAGUUAAUCACAAAAAUACUGAACUCUAAGGAAAAUUCACAACGGAAAUCCAAAUCCAAAUGUCAAUCAAGUAAAAGGUCUAGCUAGCUAUAAAACCAGGUUUAUUCCACAAUUUUCUACAUUAGAAAAUGUCUGUACCAAGUCAGGAAUAUGACAGUUACUACCCAUUCGUUUGAUGUGUUUCAGCUUUUGAUUUUGCCAUUUGCUUAGGGACUUUCCGUUUAGAAUUUUCCUCGGAGUUCGGUAUUUUUGUUAUCUUAUUAAUCUACUUUUUUGAUAUUGAAAUGCCUCGUGAUUGCGUUCAACCAAUUAAAUGUACGUUUACUACAAACAUAUACAGUCAAGGGAGUUCGUUUGUCAGUUUCAAAGUAAUUAACUUUUCAAAACACUAGUUUAUAUUGAUAGGGGAUUAUUAAAAGAAUCCAAAAAGCAAAAAAAUAAAAUAAAUGGGUCACCGUGCUUGUUUUCGAGAUAUAAGCCAUUAAAAUUUUGGCGGGAAAAUAUUCUCUCUUGCCUUUUCAUAGCUUUAUCAUUGACAAGUUUAAGUUCUGAAAAACUAUUAAAAAAUAAUUAAAAUUUUAUAAGACUUUUACAGAUGGCUUAUCAUUAUACAUGUAAAAGGUUAACAAAAAGAAAAAUGGGGGUCACCGGGCAAAGUUUUUCAAUGCAUUCAAAUGGAUAAAACCAGAGGAUUCCGAAAACCUGACAAAAAAAUACAAAACAUGACAAGCCAGCUUCCUUAAACACAAGAUCAUAAUAACUGUAAUGGGACAAUUUCAAACAUGUAAAGCUUCCGUAUUUCAUAUUGAUUGACUGAUUGAUUGGUGUUUAACGCCACUUUCAACACAAUUGUGGCGGUCAGUUUUUUUUUUGUUAAUGGAGGAAUCCGAAGUGCCCGGAGAGAACCACCGACCUUUGGUAGGAAUCCUAGUCAAUUAAGAUUGGAGUCGAGUGCACCUGCUCCGUGCGGUAUUCGAACUCACAACCUCAGUGUUGACUGGCUAGUGAUACAAUAGUUCGACCACUUAGACCACUCAGCCACCGAGGCCCCCUACACUUCAUACGUUACGAAAACAACUAUAUAUUUAUCAAUCAAAAUAUCAGAAAUAAAUCAGAACAUAUGGAAGACAAAGGUAGUGACUAAAGACAGACGAAAAGUUACACAAUGAAACUUACAAAAAGGGAAAUUUUGCAUAUUUGCAUGUGCUCAUAUAAUGUCUAUGUGUUAUUGAAUACUUGUAUUUUAGAAUUCAAGGAUAAACAUUCGCUCACCAUUAAUAAAGAAGAAGCUUUAGCGUUCUGGUGUCAUCAUGAAGAUCUACGAGAAUGUGAUGGAGACGUAGGCAAACCGAGGCUGUUUUUCGAACCUGGCGGUCCAUAACAUUGCGUAGGUUUUUUUAAUAGAACAAUGGCACUUGGUGAAUACAGCUGCUGGUGGAGUCCCUGAGGGUACCACUACCUGAGUUGAUGUAUUGAAAACUAAGGCUUCAAAUCUUUUUGACAAAGUGGUACUAUUAAAUCCUGAUUCAGUAAUAAACAUGUACAGUAACCUCAAACAUAUUCCAGCUUUUAUAUACAUCCUUGGCUUUCAAAAUUUUGGGUUUCAUCGUUUCUGAUAAAGACAAACCAAGAACAGCGCUUCAGAAGCACCAUAUAUCGUAAUUGUUAUUUUUAUUUACUAUCCCGGUUAAACCCCACCAUACUGUGUGCCUGUACCAAGUCACAUUAUCUGUAUUUUUGCUCGCUGUAUUUUGUCUUUUUUAUACGUAUAUCUUCUCGAAGUAGUCUGGUGUUUGUG